UAGAGGAGGAGCCAAUAUGACGAAGUCAUAUUUUGGAAUGGCUCCGACGACCUGCCGCCGAGCGAAAGCGAGGGGGCGAAUCAGAUU
ncrna:unclassified sequences GA-cis RNA